UACGUAGGGGGCAAGCGUUGUCCGGAAUCAUUGGGCGUAAAGAGCGUGUAGGCGGCCAGAAAAGUCCGCUGUGAAAACUCGAGGCUCAACUUCGAGCUGUCGGUGGAAACUUUCUGGCUAGAGUCCGGAAGAGGAGACUGGAAUUCCUGGUGUAGCGGUGGAAUGCGCAGAUAUCAGGAGGAACACCGGUGGCGAAGGCGGGUCUCUGGGCAGUAACUGACGCUGAGGAGCGAAAGCGUGGGGAGCGAACAGG
rnacentral:rRNA from 1 species